GGGGGGGGGGGGGGAACGGUGGCCCUAAGGGGCCAAGUAGCUUUGUAUGAAGGGAGUAAGUGUUGUGGUGUUGAAAGGUAGCACUAAACAUGGCACCAAAGGAGAGGAUACAAUCUGAUUAUUACAGUGAUGACGACAUGUUAGGAAAACACAUUGAGGCUUGUUACCUCGGAGUUAGGCUCAGGUAUAUAUCUUUGGGCUAGGGGGUGGUAUUUUCACAUCCGGAUGAAAAGCAUGCCCAAAGUAAACUGCCUGCUACUCAGGCCCAGAAGCUAGGAUAUGCAUAUAAUUGGUAGAUUUGGAUAGAAAACACUCUAAAGUUUCUACAACUGUUAAAAUAAGGUCUGUGAGUAUAACAGAACUUAUUUGGCAGGCGAAGCCCCGAGGACAAACCAUCCAGGAUUAGUUUUUUGUUGAGUUGACUGUGUUUUCUAUUGGUUUUCUAUGGUAAACUAGAUUUAUGAGGCACCUGGUUGCAAUUCCUAUGGCUUCCACUAGAUGUCAACAGUCUUUAGAAAUUGGUUGAUGUUUUUCCUUUGAGAAAUGAAGUAGUACGGCUAUUCAGAAUGAGAGUCAAGCCAAGUGGACUCUUGUUUGGGGCGAGCGACCUGCAGCUCGCUCCACUUUGAUUUUAUCCGCUAUUGAACACAGUAUAUUCCGUCUUAAAUUUGAUCGAUUAUUUACGUUUUAGGAUACCUAAGUAAGGUAUGAAGUAAGGCAUGAAUUAUAUCGUUAUUUCUGACUUUUUUUGUCGCACUUCCCGAUUGAAAAAUGUUUGUCAUGCAUUUGUAUGCGGGGUGCUGUCCUCAGAUAAUCGCAUGGUUUGCUUUCGCCGUAAAGCCUUUUUGAAAUCUGACAUGGUGGCUGGAUUAACAAGAAGUUAAGCUUUAUUUUUUAUGUAUUACACUUGUGAUUUCGUGAAAGUUAAAUAUUUAUAGUAAUUUAAUUUGAAUUUGGUGCUCUGCCAUUUCACCGGAUGUUGUCAAAUCGAUCCUGCUAAAGGGAUUUGAUCCCUAAGAAGUUUUAAAACACAUUGUGGCUUGUUACCUGGGAGUUAGGCUCAGGUAUUUAAAACAGAUUGAGGCUUGUUACCUGGGCGUUAGGCUCAGGUAUUUAAAACACAUUGUGGCUUGUUACCUGGGAGUUAGGCUCAGGUAUUUAAAACAGAUUGAGGCUUGUUACCUGGGAGUUAGGCUCAGGUAUUUAAAACACAUUGUGGCUUGUUACCUGGGAGUUAGGCUCAGGUAUUUAAAACACAUUGUGGCUUGUUACCUGGGAGUUAGGCUCAGGUAUUUUACUCUUGAUAAAAUACACUUCUACUGCUCUCAUCUUGCUCAGGUGAAUGGUCCCAUCAGCGCUUGUGAGCACACCCUUACAGUAUUAGAUAGGGAGAACUGAGGUGUAGUCAAUAUUCUCUUCUGCAACAGAAGUCCUUCAACCCAUCAUGGGUCCACAAAGACCGGUUCUUUCCCUGUCGUAUUUAAAUGCAGUGUUUAUGUAGCUCUCAUAUGCAUAGAAAUGUCCCAAAUGGAACCCUAUUCCUUAUAUACAGCUAUGGGCCCUCGUCUAAAGCAUUGCACUGGAUAGGGAAUAUGGUGCUAUUUGGGAUGCAACCCUAAGUAUUCUCUGACUCUUCAACUGGCCCACUAGCCAAGUUCAUGUUUUAAUGGGGGAUCUGGCGGUCAGAUUGAUUCUUUAACUGGCCCACUAGACAAGUUCAUGUUUUAAUGGGGGAUCUGGCCUUCAGACUGAUUAUUCAACUGGCCCACUAGCCAAGUUCUUGUUUUAAUGGGGGAUCUGGCCUUUAGACUGAUUCUUCAACUGGCCCACUAGCCACGGUCGUGUUUUAAUGGGGGAUCUGGCUUUCAGACUGAUUCUUCAACUGGCCCACUAGCCAAGUACAUGUUUUAAUGGGGGAUCUGGCCUUCUGACUGAUUCUUCAACUGGCCCACUAGCCAAGUUUAUGUUUUAAUGGGGGAUCUGGCCUUCAGACUGAUUUUUCAACUGGCCCUCUAGCCAAGUACAUGUUUUAAUGGGAGAUCUGGCCUUCAGACUGAUUCUUCAACUGGCCCACUAGCCAAGUGUAUGUUUGAAUAGGGGAUCUGGCCUUCUGACUGAUUCUUCAACUGGCCCACAAGCCAAGUUCAUGUUUUAAUGGGGGAUCUGGCCUUCAGACUGAUUAUUCAACUGGCCCACUAGCCAAGUUCAUGUUUUAAUGGGGGAUCUGGCCUUCAGACUGAUUCUUCAACUGGCCCACUAGCCAAGUUCGUGUUUUAAUGGGGGAUCUGGCCUUCAGACUGAUUCUUCAACUGGCCCACUAGCCAAGUACAUGUUUUAAUGGGGGAUCUGGCUUUCAGACUGAUUCUUCAACUGGCCCACUAGCCAAGUACAUGUUUUAAUGGGGGAUCUGGCCUUCAGACUGAUUCUUCAACUGGCCCACUAGCCAAGUUCAUGUUUUAAUGGGGGAUCUGGCCUUCAGACUGAUUCUUCAACUGGCCCACUAGCCAAGUGUAUGUUUGAAUAGGGGAUCUGGCCUUCUGACUGAUUCUUCAACUGGCCCACAAGCCAAGUUCAUGUUUUAAUGGGGGAUAUGGCCUUCAGACUGGUUCAACUGGCCCACUAGACAAGCUCAUGUUUUAAUGGGGAAUCUGGCCUUCAGACCGUUAACAUUGCUGUUGUUGUGACUGACUGACUAAUUGACUGUCUGACUGUCUGACUGACUAACUGGCUGACUGUCUGUCUGACUGUCUGACUGGCUGUCAGACUGUUAUGCUGACUGGAUGACUGACUGACUGACUGGCUGACUGUCUGACUGGCUGUCUGACUGGCUGACUGGCUGUCUGACUGGCUGUCUGACUGUCUGACUGGCUGUCAGACUGUUAUGCUGACUGGAUGACUGGCUGACUGGCUG
rnacentral:lncRNA from 1 species